rnacentral:rRNA from 1 species
UACGAAGGACCCGAGCGUUAUCCGGAUUUAUUGGGUUUAAAGAGUGCGUAGGCGGAUUUACAAGUCAGUGGUGAAAUCUCCCAGCUUAACUGGGAAACUGCCAUUGAAACUGUUUAUCUUGAGUACAUUUGAGGCGGGCGGAAUGUGUCAUGUAGAGGUGAAAUUCUUAGAUAUGACACAGAACACCAAUUGCGAAGGCAGCUCGCUAAACUGUAACUGACGCUGAGGCACGAAAGCGUGGGGAUCAAACAGG